GACGAAGGGGGCUAGCGUUGUUCGGAAUUACUGGGCGUAAAGCGCGCGUAGGCGGUUCUUCAAGUCAGGCGUGAAAGCCCCGGGCUUAACCCGGGAAUAGCGCUUGAUACUGUGGGACUUGAGUCCGGGAGAGGAUAGUGGAAUUCCCAGUGUAGAGGUGAAAUUCGUAGAUAUUGGGAAGAACACCAGUGGCGAAGGCGGCUAUCUGGACCGGUACUGACGCUGAGGCGCGAAAGCGUGGGGAGCGAACAGG
rnacentral:rRNA from 1 species